GUCCUGUAUUUAUGUUAGCGGCGUAUGUUUUGUAGAAUCAUGUCUCAGGGUGAGCAGGCAGCAGUGGUGACAGUGGGUACUCGUGUCCCCUCAGCCCACAGACACAAUCGGCCCAUGCACCAGACCACCUUCACUUUGGGGGACCAGGCCAUUAAUACAUAUUCCACAACUCAGGCUGAGAGCUACUCUGGCAUGGACGCCCAGGGGAAACCAUUAAUAUUUUUCUAUAGAGACGCGCCGUAUCCUUCCCAGCAUUAUGGAAACCUGGAUAUUACCAGUAACACGGGUGCAAUCCAAACCCAGACGCACAGCCGACACGUGUACACGCCUAAGACUAUAACCGAGCACCACGUCUUGCACAGCCACCAAGCGAGAAACCGAACCCGUAACUGCGAGGGAGAGACCAUGAAGGAAGUCACCAACCCCCCAGAAACUACUCCUUAUAUAACCACCUACUGCUCGGAGCAUAGUGUUCCUAAGGGUGGCUCUGACAGCACACCCCCCACGGGGAAGCCCACCCUCUGGCACCGGCAUGACAUUCUCACAGGGCAAGACAGAGGUCCUGUCAAUCAGGGGAGGGGAAGGAGAGCAUCCCGGGACAAGGUGCUGUGGGCGGACCGGCGGUGGGAGACAGACAGCGGCUCACUGAGACUUUACUGA
ensembl:lncRNA